rnacentral:rRNA from 1 species
ACCAAGCGUCAAUAAGGGCAUCUGGUGGAUGCCUUGGCACUGAGAGGCGAUGAAGGACGUAGCACGCUGCGAUAAGCCAUGGGGAGGGGCGAGCGCCCGUUGAUCCGUGGAUUUCCGAAUGGGGAAACCCCGCCCGCAAGGGUGAUCGCCGACUGAAUACAUAGGUCGGCGAGGCGAACCCGGUGAACUGAAACAUCUCAGUAACCGGAGGAAAGGACAUCAACCGAGACUCCGUUAGUAGUGGCGAGCGAACGCGGACCAGGCCAGUGAUCGUGAGGCUCUAACCGGAACCGUCUGGAAAGUCGGACCGGAGUGGGUGACAGUCCCGUACGGGUAACGGGCCUUGCGAUACUCGAGUAGGGCGGGACACGUGUAAUCCUGUCUGAACGUAGGGGGACCACCCUCUAAGCCUAAGUACUCCUCAGUGACCGAUAGUGCACCAGUACCGUGAGGGAAAGGUGAAAAGCACCCCGAUGAGGGGAGUGAAACAGACCCUGAAACCGGAUGCCUACAAGCAGUCGGAGGUUGGAGGACAGAAGUCAGGAAUCAUGCGGCGCGGGAGCGAUCCUGGGCUUGGAUGAUGCUUGGCAUCUGGCUUCUGGUUGACGGCGUACCUUUUGUAUAAUGGGUCAGCGAGUUAGUCUUUGCAGCAAGCUUAAGCCGAUAGGUGAAGGCGUAGCGAAAGCGAGUCUGAAUAGGGCGAUGAGUUGCAGGGAUUAGACCCGAAACCGAGUGAUCUAGCCAUGGGCAGGUUGAAGGUGCAGUAACAUGUACUGGAGGACCGAACCCACUCCCGUUGAAAAGGUAGGGGAUGACCUGUGGUUAGGGGUGAAAGGCCAAUCAAACUCGGAAAUAGCUGGUUCUCCGCGAAAUCUAUUGAGGUAGAGCGUCGGGAUAGGACACCACCGGGGGUAGAGCACUGGAUGGGCUAGGGGGGCGCGAGCCUUACCAAACCUAACCAAACUCCGAAUACCGGUGAGUGAUUGCCCGGCAGGCAGACCAUGGGUGCUAAGGUCCGUGGUCGAGAGGGAAACAGCCCAGACCGCCAGCUAAGGUCCCCAAGUGGUGGCUAAGUGGGAAAGGAUGUGGGAAGGCCAAGACAGCCAGGAGGUUGGCUUAGAAGCAGCCAUCCUUUAAAGAAAGCGUAAUAGCUCACUGGUCUAGACAAGCCGUCCUGCGCCGAAAAUGUAUCGGGGCUCAAGCCACCCACCGAAGCUGCGGGAUCCGUAAGGAUCGGUAGCGGAGCGUUCCGUAAGCCUGUGAAGGUGAACCGCGAGGUUUGCUGGAGGUAUCGGAAGUGAGAAUGCUGACAUGAGUAGCGACAAUGCGGGCGAGAAACCCGCACGCCGAAAGUCCAAGGGUUCCUGCGCAAGGUUAAUCCGCGCAGGGUUAGCCGGCCCCUAAGGCGAGGGCGAAAGCCGUAGUCGAUGGGAACGGGGUGAAUAUUCCCCGGCCUGCUGGUGGUGACGAAGGCCAGGUUCCGUAUUCCCUUACUGGAUUGGGGAUGCGGCUGAGGUCUUCCAGGAAAUAGCCCCAGCAUAUAGACCGUACCCGAAACCGACACAGGUGGACUGGUAGAGUAUACCAAGGCGCUUGAGAGAACGAUGUUGAAGGAACUCGGCAAAUUGCUCCCGUAACUUCGGAAGAAGGGAGACCCUUGCUUGGGCAACCAGGUGGGGGUGGCACAGACCAGGGGGUGGCGACUGUUUAGCAAAAACACAGGGCUCUGCGAAGUCGACGAGACGACGUAUAGGGUCUGACGCCUGCCCGGUGCCGGAAGGUUAAGAGGAGGGGUUCACGCUCUGAAUCGAAGCCCCGGUAAACGGCGGCCGUAACUAUAACGGUCCUAAGGUAGCGAAAUUCCUUGUCGGGUAAGUUCCGACCUGCACGAAUGGCGUAACGACUUCCCCGCUGUCUCCAACAUCGGCUCAGCGAAAUUGAAUUCUCCGUGAAGAUGCGGAGUACCCGCGGUCAGACGGAAAGACCCCGUGCACCUUUACUACAGCUUUGCAGUGGUAUCGGCGAGUGGAUGUGUAGGAUAGGCGGGAGCCUAUGAAGCGGCGGCGCCAGCUGUCGUGGAGGCACCCUUGAAAUACCGCCCUUCCCCUUAUCGAUAUCUAACCGCGGCCCGUUAUCCGGGUCCGGGACCCUGCAUGGCGGGUAGUUUGACUGGGGCGGUCGCCUCCCAAAUGGUAACGGAGGCGCGCGAUGGUGGGCUCAAGCUGGUCGGACAUCAGCUGACGAGUGCAAUGGCAUAAGCCCGCCUGACUGUGAGACUGACAAGUCGAGCAGAGACGAAAGUCGGCCAUAGUGAUCCGGUGGUCCCUCGUGGAUGGGCCAUCGCUCAACGGAUAAAAGGUACGCCGGGGAUAACAGGCUGAUGACGCCCAAGAGUCCAUAUCGACGGCGUCGUUUGGCACCUCGAUGUCGGCUCAUCACAUCCUGGGGCUGGAGCAGGUCCCAAGGGUAUGGCUGUUCGCCAUUUAAAGUGGUACGUGAGCUGGGUUCAGAACGUCGUGAGACAGUUCGGUCCCUAUCUGCCGUGGGUGUCGGAUACUUGAGAGGAGCUGUCCUUAGUACGAGAGGACCGGGAUGGACGUACCUCUGGUGGACCGGUUGUGGCGCCAGCCGCAUAGCCGGGUAGCUAUGUACGGACGGGAUAACCGCUGAAAGCAUCUAAGCGGGAAGCCCCCCUCAAAACCAGGUAUCCCUGAGAGCCGUGACAGACCAUCACGUCGAUAGGCCGGAAGUAUAAGCGCGGCAACGCGUUCAGCGGACCGGUACUAAUCGCUCGAUCGGCUUGGUUCCAUGCAGACGACGGUCUGUGGCCGCCACGAAAGUGGC